GUGAAUGUCAUCACAUGUCAGAUGCUGUGAUUUAUGCAUUAAGCUUCAUGCACUUCUCCUGGUCCCAUUGACAAUAAUGGCAAAAUUCCCACUGAGGAGGCUCAGAUCCCAAACUGGCAGUCAGGGAUCAACUGUCUUCAUUCCCAUAAACCUUCCAUCAUUUGUGCCGAAUUUUUGAUCCCCACAUGAGUUGUCUAUUUCAUGGUUCAGAGAAACUGGCUUAUAGAAGACAAAGGCUGAAACAAAAAUCCCAGAUCUGAAUACCCCCAAACUCUGGGAUGUUCAAAAUCUAGAUUGGGGCAUUACCACGUGUUGAUCGUCCUAUGUCUCAGUACUGUUUCUAGUGCCCUUCUGACUCAACGGUAUUCCUGAGAUCAAAAAUCAUCCUUUAAUCCAUGUCUGAUGAUUGGAAAAGUGUUAUCACCUUUCUAUGGAGAAAGAUAAUA